ACGGGGGACAACAUUUGGAAACGAAUGCUAAUACCGCAUAACAACUUUAAACACAAGUUUUAAGUUUGAAAGAUGCAAUUGCAUCACUCAAAGAUGAUCCCGCGUUGUAUUAGCUAGUUGGUGAGGUAAAGGCUCACCAAGGCGAUGAUACAUAGCCGACCUGAGAGGGUGAUCGGCCACAUUGGGACUGAGACACGGCCCAAACUCCUACGGGAGGCAGCAGUAGGGAAUCCUCGGCAAUGGACGAAAGUCUGACCGAGCAACGCCGCGUGAGUGAAGAAGGUUUUCGGAUCGUAAAACUCUGUUGGUAGAGGAGAACGUUGGUGAGAGUGGAAAGCUCAUCAAGUGACGGUAACUACCCAGAAAGGGACGGCUAACUACGUGCCAGCAGCCGCGGUAAUACGUAGGUCCCGAGCGUUGUCCGGAUUUAUUGGGCGUAAAGCGAGCGCAGGUGGUUUAUUAAGUCUGGUGUAAAAGGCAGUGGCUCAACCAUUGUAUGCAUUGGAAACUGGUAGACUUGAGUGCAGGAGAGGAGAGUGGAAUUCCAUGUGUAGCGGUGAAAUGCGUAGAUAUAUGGAGGAACACCGGUGGCGAAAGCGGCUCUCUGGCCUGUAACUGACACUGAGGCUCGAAAGCGUGGGGAGCAAACAGGAUUAGAUACCCUGGUAGUCCACGCCGUAAACGAUGAGUGCUAGAUGUAGGGAGCUAUAAGUUCUCUGUAUCGCAGCUAA
rnacentral:rRNA from 1 species